UUUUUUUCUUCUAUUUACAUUACAUGGCAUAAGUUUCGUUGGAUAUACUAUAUCAUAUCUACAGGUACGUGUGUCGAAUUACAACGGCAUUCACGCCAAUGCCAGAUAUCCGAGGGGUGGAAGAUUGUCCGGGUCGAUGGUUCGGAGCCGGGCGGUUCGAUGGGGGAAGCUGCAGAUCCACUGCGGAGAAUCAACGAUUGUGGUCCUGGACGAUUACGACGGAGUUAUUUGGCGUCUGGACAAAACGAGCGAGCCUCCGUGGAACACAUCGUGGCGUAUCGAAGUCUCGGUCCGUCUUAAGGCAUCGUCCAGUUUUUGGCUCGACCCCGCGAGACGCAUUCCACCGCGAGGAAACCGGGGUCUUUGUGGUGUUGACCGUCAUGACGAUGAUUCCAAGGCGUUCUUUUGACGUUGCAGGGAACAAGUAUUGUCGGUACGAGGCGGGCUUGGAAAAGCUGCACUCCCCGCCGCUCGAAAGAAUUUCACUUUUUCCUAACGAAUUAGCCCGAGCGUACGCGGAAUCCGGUCUUCGUCGAAGAGGUUAUACCCUUACUCGCACCAUACGUUGUCUCGGCGUCGCGACGACCACCGUCGUUGUUGCAAUCAUUAGGUUCGCUUUAUCGUUGAAAAGAUUUCUAAUCUCCUCGAGAGUAUUAAUAAUAAGGCUUAUCGGUUGUUGAAAAUCGCCACAGCUCUGCAUUAGGCUCUCCAGUCAAGCGUGCAACGUGUAUUUGCUUCGCAAUUAUCGAGACGGCAUUAUAUACAUAUCCGUUUUCAUUCCAGUAAAAUUAAUCUCGUCGGUACGCCCCUGCACUAAUAAUCCUUCAAAUAUACCACUCUCAAUUGUCUCCAAGUUAUUUGACGUAGAUAAAUACUUAUAUACACGUUGCACAAGUCGUUGUAAUACCUACUCAUAUAGAUACAGACAAGAAUUCUCCCGGCGCACUCUUUCUUCACCCAGUUGGCGUAGGCUGGUUCGUACGUACACGCGUCAUUACAGUAGUUGUGUGGUGUUUAGUUUCAAAGAUCCUAUCUCCCUGUAUCUGCGUCUGAAACACGCGUAGAGUCACGGAGGCGGUUGCUACUGGAGGAAAGAACAAGAGAGAAUAUCGGACGCGUGAGACUGCACCAGGCGAACGUAGGCUAAAUGUUUUUCACGGGAGCUGUGAAACCGAGAUGAAUAGACAGAUUAUUGAUCAUGGCGGAGUCUGAUUUACCCAUCCGUAGCCCUUAUCGAUGUUUCAGCAGUCGGAUAUUUACUCUCUCGAUUAUGUCUCAGAAGUGGCAUGAUGAGGUAAUUGUGUAACAUAGGUAUAUAAUAACGAACGAUUAAUUGGUUAUCAUCUGACCGAAAACCGAGGUAAAAAAUUUUGCACCACGACCCCCCGAAACCAACGAGCAAUCUUCAACAUCGAUAUUGUAAAGUUACGAACCAAAUGACGGUUACUGAGACGAACGAAAAGAUUCUCGGCGCGCGGAAGAUACUGGACCGACCAAAUCGAAGCAAAAACCUCCGGAGUGCAGUUGGCUCGCGAGUCACAGAUCCCGAAGAGAUCUAGAGAGAAAGAGAGGCCCGGGAAGAAAGAAAAAAGGAAGAUGGACUGAGAGGGGAGGAGGAUGCGGAGGAGGAGUGACUGGAACACCGAGCGAAGAGGGACUCUUUGGUGGCAGCGACGAUCGCGGUGGCAGUCCUGGUAGUGGUAGAUGACCAACAACUAUACAUCCGCCGUCCCAGCAGUCGUACGCGCUCAUCCGAGAUCAAGUUUUUCUCGAGUUCCGAACCUCGGAGCGAGCUGCACUUGAAUCCAAGUUGGUUUCCUGGCACGCGGUUCGUCCUGUCGUUUAUUUCCCCCUCGAAGCUUGCGUCCUCCCGUCCUACCAAGGGUCAUUACUUUCUGUCAUUGCCUUUAAUUACAUCAGGUUGCUGCCGCUUGUGGUGGUGGUGGUGGUGGCGGUCGCUGUUGUUGUUAUGCAACGUGACCGCAGCUAUAACGUUCCUUGCGGAAUAUCGGUACCCUACGAGGUCCGCGAUCCAGGACUCGCCUUGUUGGUCCAGGAGGUAUGACCCCACUUUUCUGUAAGGCUCCGUUUCUGAGGAGGCAAGCUGAGGGGGGGAAUCCUGAUCGACUGCUAGGUACUCCGAUUAAUCCAGUUCCAGCUCGAUAAAAUUCCCCGCGCGAGAGACAAGAGUGUGCCGAUCGGCCCAGGGUUAGUUAAUUAAUCUCACUUAACGUAUAUACAGCGCUCUCAGUUCGCGCGCAAUCAAACCUCGACGGAGCCAGGGACGCGAGCACUGAUUGCUGCAGCGCCAGCGCGACUCCUUUCGGAGGUAACGAGUGGGACCACCCAAACACCGAAAUCAUAGCGGGGACGGAUUAUCAUCUGCGAAGAAGUAUCGCGCCGCACGGUACCGCCUCGCGGUUCCAAUGCUGUCCGGGUCAGGAGCCGCAAAACUGCUGUACACACUUACUUUACGCAGCACUUCACCUUCAGAUGAUUCCAACCUGAAUCUGACAACCCGCUCUUACCGUCAGCUAUUUAUGGCGUUACUAAGAGGAAUUUUACUUACGCUAUGUCCAUCACAUCGUGAGAAAUUCAUACCAAUACGAGUUGAGACGAAAGGUUUUAGAGAACGGAUAAACGAGAAACUAACUCACCUUCAGAGCGGCAGUGCUCGAUCGAUUUCCUCCAACGGUUAUGGCGUAAACUUCGAUCUCGUACCAAGGAACUCCAGCUUCCCGGUCCAGCGCAGCAGCAGUCGACAGAAUGCCACUCUUCGUGUCCACUUCGAAUAACCUGUCUACCUGUGGACCACCACUUCCCGCGGCAUUUCAUCAUCUUCAAAAGGUACAAUCAGUGUCAAAUAAGUCUCCGAGGACCUCCUCUCAGCCUGCACUGCCUCGUCAGUUGCUCGCACACCAACCUGAUACUUCGAAGUGCGUUCAAAAUCAUCCAAUGAUCUUGGAAGUCUCAUGAAAAUUUGCACCGACACGCGACGUUCGUUGCUGCAGCGUUCGAAAGGGUUCGAGACAAAAGGGAGAUGGCUAUUGUCGUCACAUGUUUCACUGCAAGUUUAGUUCGUAGGUAAUUCAGCUUCGUUCGGAUAACGUGAGAAAUAACUUUGGUGUAGAUGAAAAACAAUUUGCGAUGCGAAUAACAGUGCUAAUAAUCAACGCUGAUUGUGCAUUCGCAAAGGAUGAAUGUCCCAUCGAUGAGACGUAAGCUGCAAAGAACAUUCGCCUCAUGUCUCCUGCCGCCAUCUCU
rnacentral:lncRNA from 1 species